GGGGCGGGACGCCCCGUCUCUCCCUGUGGGGGCAGCGGGUUCGGGCCUGUGUGGUCGCGGGUGAACAAUCCUCGCGUGUUUUCAGUCACGGGGGCGCGACUUGCUGUGGAGUCGCGUGGAAAUUCUACGUUAACGGCGUCGUCGGAGACGCGGGGUGUUCGCCUCCGUUUAGUUGGAUUUUCUGAGCUUCAGCGCAGCAGGACAGGCGGGGCGCCCCGUGAGCACCCGGGGUUCUCCCGCUGGCCCGGCCCUGGGCCCGCCCCGACACCCGCCCCUGCAGCCCUGGCCUGUGCCCGCUCCCGCCUCCCCCGCUGCUGGGGUCUCCUUGGCACUCGCUGCUCCAGACUCGGGUGAAGCUCUUGCCUGCGGGAGCCCAGUUUCUUCAGGAACCACCCGGAGCAAGAGGGAGACUGUCUCCUCAAGGCAUAGAAAGAGCGUCCAGAUGCCUCCACACCCCAGGGCUCCGCAGGAAGAACAGGUCACCUGGAGGUGCCCCUGCAGCGGGAACCAGUGUGUCCACAGCGGCCGCCUCCUCGCGCCCUCUGGGACCUGCGUGGGAAGAGCAGAGCCAGUGAAGCCCAAGCACGGAGGAGGCUCUUUCCUUAGUGACAUCCCCUGGGGAAUGCUGCACGGACUCAGAUGUGACAAAGUGCAGAUGGAAACCAGAAGGCCCUACCGAGGCACCACUUGCUGGCGGGUGCUUCACCAGUUCCUUUGCCCUCCCAGCCCUUCACCUGCUCUGCUCCUGGGACUGCUGUGCUUGCGGACAUCUGUGCUCCACGCCUAUGUUCUCAUGCUGCUCCUGGCCCCUCUGGCUGGGUCCAGCCCCUGACUCCUCUCCAGGGUCUCGGCCUCCACUGGUGUGCUCCUUUCACCUUGGCCACUAAGUGGCUGCCUUGGAGCAGGGAAGUGAAUUCUAGGGAGGUGCUGGUGAUCAUCUAAUCACCAGCAGGGUGAACUCUUCUCUUGUGUUUUCUUCCAAAGGGUGAACAGAAAAUGCAACAUUUUAAAAUCCUAUAAAGGAUUCGAAGAGCUCUGGCCUUGUAGCCUCUGCUGGACUGAAGAGUGAAAUGGGAAUGGUGUUCAUGGUCCAGUGUCUCUGCAGGGGGUGGGCUGAACAGGAGGCACCUUCUUGGGGUUAUUCAGGUGGUGCUGGGGACUUGGGGGGCUGGGAUGGUGGUCUUCCUAAUGCUUUCCUGGACCCCUCCAGCUGGGUGCCUAGCAAGGUGGUGCUGGGCCGCAGGGCUUCCUCCUGCAGGGUGCCUGGCAACGAUGUGGUGUUGGGCCCCCAGGCCUCCUGCAGCACGGGCCCUGACCUGGAGGCCAUGCUGGGCUUCCAGGCGUCUGGCAGCAGGGGCCCUGAGCCGGAGACAGAGUUCUGCACACCGGAGUCCUCCUGUGGGUUGCCUGGCCCAGAGGUGGUGGUGGGCUUCUGGGCAUCCUGCUUCGGGGACAGUCCCACCCACAAGGUCUCGCACCCCAAGACCUCAGGCUGCCGGUGGUCCUCCGGUAUUGGGGCACAGUGGACCCCAUCAGGACUAAGGAGCUUGGGGGAGAUGGUGGGGUCUGGCUCCUCCUCGUCUGCCUAAUGCCUAGAGAGCAGCAUGAGGUAGGUCCCCAUCACAGGGUCAUACCUGCCCUCCAAAAGCACCCUGUCGAUGACCUCUUUCUGGAACCCCAAUCAGACCAUGGCUUCAGUCUUGGCCUUGUGCUGGCCCGGGGAUUGCUCGCGGCAGGGUGUCUUCUCCACCCCUCCCCCAGUGCUGUGGGGACACCCCCUGACCUGACUCAGCCAGGGCUGGGGCAGCUGGGGUUGGUCAGAUCCCCCCGAGAUUUCUGGCUUGGAAAUAUCUGCGUCUGGGGCUCCCGUUGGUGCAGCGGGUUGAUCGCAGCACUGUGGAGCUGUCCGCACCUCUGAAGCGCCGGUUCAAUUCCCGGCCUGCCAGGGAAGCAAGCAAACCUCUCCUUUCCCGCCUGCUGCGCCCUUCAGCAGUGUAUUUCUUCAGUCUGCCUGUUCUGCUCCCUGCUCUGUCUCUGGUGAAUCCUCUCAACCUCUCGCACCUCUGGCCUGUACCCCAGUUCUUGUAUAAAUAUAUAUCUU